GGUUGAUCCUGCCAGUAGUCAUAUGCUUGUCCCAAAGAUUAAGCCAUGCAUGUCUAAGUAUAAACCAAUUAUACGGUGAAACUGCGAAUGGCUCAAUAAAUCAGUUAUAAUUUAAUUGAUGGUAAAUUUACUACAUGGAUAACCGUGGUAAUUCUAGAGCUAAUACAUGCAAAGGACCCAACUAUGUGAAUGGAAGGGUUGUAUUUAUUAGAUAAAAAACCAAUGUAAGAAUGGUGAAUCAUGAUAACUUUACGGAUCGUAUGGUCAUGAACCGACGACGCAUCAAUCAAAUA
rnacentral:rRNA from 1 species